CUAGCCGUAAACGAUGGAUACUAGGCGUUGUGAGUAUCGACCCUCACAGUGUCGUAGCUAACGCGUUAAGUAUCCCGCCUGGGGAGUACGCGCGCAAGCGUGAAACUCAAAGGAAUUGACGGGGGCCCGCACAAGCGGUGGAGUAUGUGGUUUAAUUCGGUGCAACGCGAAGAACCUUACCAGGACUUGACGUGUCGCGAAUCUCAGGGAAACUUGAGAGUGCCUUCGGGAGCGCGAACACAGGUGGUGC
rnacentral:rRNA from 1 species